CACGCAGGCGGUCUGCUAAGUUCGGAGUGACAGUCACCAGCUUAACUGGUGAAGGACUUUGAAAACUGGCGGGCUUGAGAGCGAGAGAGGGACAUGGAAUUUCGGGUGGAGCAGUGAAAUGCGUAGAUAUCCGGAGGAAUACCAAAGGCGAAGGCAGUGUCCUGGCUCGUAUCUGACGCUGAGGUGCGAAAGCUAGGGGAGCGAACGGGAUUAGAUACCCCGGUAGUCCUAGCCGUAAACGAUGACCACUAGGUGUGGGAGGUAUCGACCCCUUCCGUGCCGCAGUUAACACGGUAAGUGGUCCGCCUGGGGAGUACGGUCGCAAGACUAAA
rnacentral:rRNA from 1 species